GAGGCUGGCCAACUAGGCGUUUUUUCUAGAUCUUACUCGUCACACCAUCAAAUCACUCAAAUCAAGUCCUGCAUAGCUAAUUCUAAUUACUAGCCUAUAUAUAUAUAAAUAUAUAUAUUUUCAAGUUAUAAAAAAUUUGAUUGCUUCUAGCAUGUAACCUAAAAUUACAUAUAAUGUCAUUAUCUUUAACAUAAAAUAAGAAACAGACUUAUUCUCUUGCUGCCUAAUAAUUUGUAUUGCUAGUAAUCAAUCCUCAAUUUAUAGCUUAUGUAAUGUGAGAUUAUGAAUGCCAUAUUCCAAAAAUUCCCAGCAUGAUAACUUGUCCUUUUACCAGACAUACAAAAAUUAGAUUAGCCUUGGUGCAUGAAAGCAUACUAGUACGUAAACACACACACACACACACAUAUAUACAAUUAGAAAUCUGAAGAAAAGUAAACUCAAAAAAUCAAAAUAUGUAAUCUACAUUGCAAAUCUUUCAAAGAGAACGGAAAAAAGAAAAAAAAAAAAACAAAAAUUGUGGGAAGAUGUUGAAGAUAUAUACGGAAAAUUUAUCAAAAUAAGUCCUAAUUAACAGGAGAAUAUAAGUGAACUUGUAUUAACAGAAGUGGAGGCCCAGCCCAGUUUGGAACAAAAACCUGAUUUGUAAAAUGCUGCUCCAGAGCCAUCUUGGACUUUAGACCCGAUAGUGUUUAAACAAGACACGAGUGAUCUCCCAAAUGUUCGGGAGAGUUUAGAGCACGUAAUAAUCACGGUAUAUAUAUAUAUAUAUAUAUAUAUAUAUAUAUAUGUAUAUAAGCAUAUAAAUUGGGAGCAGGGGGUAAUCGAGUAUAAGAAAAGUCCUCACAUGAACAUGUCGUACAACAAUAAAUGAUGCCAACUUUACUUUCUAAUAAAAAUGUAAAUCUUCAAUUGAUUACGUUAUAUAAAAAAAUAAUUCUAUAUACAUAUAUAUAUAUAUAUGUGCGAGGUGUGCAUCUACAUGUGCAGAAAUACAUAAAUAAAUAAUUUAAGAGAUGAUGAUGUUUAAUUUUGAUCCGGAUAAGAGUAUGUUUGGUUAAGGAAGUAAAUACCAUAGCAUACGAUGAUGAAAGUUUUAUAAACUAAGAUAAGCAAUGCCUUCAUACAGAAUAGAGACAGUGUAAAAGCUUAGAAAUUUGUACACCCUUUGGCACCAAUGGUUUUUCUCCGAAUGAGCAGAUGGUAACGACCAAGUGAUGGGAAUGGAUUCAUCCUAUUAAUAAGAGAUCAGAAAUUGUAUCGUUUUGUUUAGUUUAGUUUUGCCUUAUUUUGUUUGCCACAUGCAGAGCAAUUUUGAUUUUGAUGCACUCAAUAAGAUCCUGAAAUUGAGGUGGUCAACUUUCAUGCUGAAGAAUAUAUAUACAUAUGUAUAUAUAUAUAUAUAUAUUUUAUAUGCACACCACCUGUUUGAUUCUUUUUCUCUCUCACAUUACGACUUUCCCACCAUUUGAUGGUGUCAAAAAAGUCAGACUCAAGAGACUGGGAUUCCCUGCACGCUGCACCAUUUUCUUAAUUAAAAGAAUUACACGCUUUUCCAAAUAAAUUACCCAUCACCACGUGCCUGCUUCUUCACUAAAGCCUUCUUUCACUCUCAUCUCAAUAUGUAUCUAUCUAUCUAUAUAUAUAUAUAUAUAUAAUGUACUAGACUCUCUUAGCUCAUUAAUUCUGCUUUGGGUAUUCAUAUUUCUUAUUAUAUUUAAACGACUUACAUUCUUAGCUAGAAUUUCAGGAUGGUUAGGAAUUUCAGUCUCAGCUGAGGUCGAAAUUUAAUUCUUUCACUAAAUUCUUCAACAGAUAACUUGUUCUAUAUAAUAUAUAAUAGCGAAAACUUACAAUGUCCUGAAUGAGAUGGUCAAAGAUUCCACUACCAGCAUGAGAUUAAAAAAGAAAAGGGAAUUUUAACUGUAAGAACCUAAUAAUUUGUACCAUUCCAUCAUAACUUAGUGGCCUCCACUUCGUGCUGUCCUCAAGGCCGAUGCUUGUUCCCUUAACGGACCACUUUAAGUAACGAUUAACGGACCAAGGGCCUACCUGCUAUUGUUAUUCCUAUUUUUCUUUACCCAUUAGUCAACUUGCUGAUUCUAAUUUUGGAACAUUGAUUAUUCAAUUUAGUUAUUUCCAACAAGAUAUUUGGCAACAUCUCUCCCUCUAUCUCUAUUUACAUACAUACAUAUAUAUAUGUAUAUAUUACAGACAAAGUAUGGUUUUGUGGACUCUUUUUAAGUUUAGAUGCAUUCCCAAGGCUCAUUGAUCUUUCAAAAAUGAGGUCAAAAAGUCCCACUUGACUCCACCACACUAUGCAGCUAAAACCAGUGGAUUAUUUUUUUACUAGUACUUUUUCUUUGAGGUUCUCAAUCCUAUGGUCGGCUAUGAGUCCAUGGCUAUUUUAACGGUUUCUGUUUCAGUUGUUAGGAUACUGUCAACCCAACAUUAUUAUAUAUAUAUAUAUGUAUAUAUUCCAUAGUUUUAGCUAUAUACCCAGUGAAAGUGCUUUCCUCUCAGAUCUAUUAUCUAUAUAAGAAACUCCUUUCCCUAUCUUCCAUCGCAUGUGCUCUUUCUAGUCCCCUCACUUGUGCUUUCCUUCUUAAGUUCAAAUACCCCCUCUCUCUUUCAACAAAGGUUAUACAUAAUUAAUUUCCUUGUUUGAGCAGGAAAUGAACCUAGUCUGGUGUUAUAUGUUAGCACUAUUCACGACAUUGAAGGCUGUCAAGGUGUAUGGAAUUGGGUGGAUUGAUGCCCACGCUACUUUCUAUGGAGGUGGAGAUGCUUCUGGAACAAUGGGUAAGGAAGAAAAGAAACUUAAAUGUCAAUUUUCUUUUCUCGCUUGAGUGCAAAAUAGUUUAUCAAUAUAUACAUAAAUAUAUAUAUGCGUGCAGGUGGAGCUUGUGGGUAUGGUAAUCUUUAUAGCCAAGGGUAUGGGACAAACACAGCUGCAUUGAGUACAGCUUUAUUCAACAAUGGGUUAAGCUGUGGAGCUUGCUUCGAGAUCAGAUGCGUAAAUGAUAGAGAAUGGUGUAUACCAGGCUCUAUUAUAGUAACUGCCACCAACUUUUGCCCACCAAACCUUGCUCUGGCAAACAAUGCUGGAGGCUGGUGUAAUCCUCCUCUGCAGCACUUUGAUCUUUCACAACCUGUUUUCCUACGCAUAGCAAAAUAUAAAGCUGGAAUUGUUCCGGUGCAGUACAGAAGGUAAGCAUGCACUAAUAGUAGGUAAUAGCUCGUAUUUUAAUCAACUAUUUUAUGCCUUGAACUUAGUGCUAGUGUUUGGUUUCAGGGUUACUUGCCGGAAGAGAGGGGGAAUGAGGUUCACAAUCAAUGGCCACUCCUACUUCAAUCUGGUGCUGAUAACUAAUGUUGGUGGAGCAGGUGAUGUGGUGGGUGUGUCCAUAAAGGGCUCUAAAACUGGUGGAUGGCAGGCAAUGUCCAGGAACUGGGGUGUGAACUGGCAGAGCAACUCCUACCUCAAUGGUCAGGCCCUCUCUUUCAAAGUCACAACCAGCGAUAGACGCUUUGUGAUCUCUAACAAUGUAGCUCCAACUACCUGGACCUUUGGCCAAACAUAUACUGGAAAACAGUUCUAACUAUUAAUUAUAUUAUCCAUACACUCCUCUCUAACCUUAACCUUUCCUACAAUUUAUUCAAAUUUUCUCACAUGCGUAUCCUAUAAAUACUCCAUCGUGUAUAACAUUUACAUGAGGAUGUAUAAAAACCGUUUUCUCAUGGCCUUCCUUGUGUUGGGUUAUACCUAUUCCUAUACUGGAGGCAGCGAAUGUUGUUAUGUUACACACUCCAUUUAUAUAUACUAUAUAACUAAGGGACUUCCACAUAUUCAAGAAGGCCUCUGUUUUUAACUAGUACUGAUGGCCUGUAAGGUGAGUGGUCACCUUCUUUCUGGCAGAGGUGAAGAAUCACCCGCCCUGAUACAAAAGCUUUUCCUUUCUUGUUUUUUUUCCGGCUUUAUUGUCUUUCAUUUUACAGUUGCAGCAAACAGUAGAGGAUACUUAUGGCUUAAAAAGCCAGUGAGUUGGAGCUAAUCCUCUUCAAUAUGUACUCUUCAAAUAAAUACAUAUGGAAUAAUUUUUGGAGUGUGAUUAAACCCUAUGCUUCAUGCAACAAAAUAUUGCAAUAUUAGGCAUGUGAUUCUCUGAAUUCAACCUACUGUUUGUUUAUGUUGAAUUUUAUAAAACAGAAGAAAACCAAUCCAAAAGGAGGUUACUAGCUCCAACUUAUUUGCAUUAUUAGUCCAUAUUUCUAACCUUGAUUGUGAGAGAAUUCGUUUGCAGUAUCUUAUAGGACGAUGGUGAUGGACUCACCUUAGCAAUAGUAGCUAUGCUUCAACUAUAGCAUUUUACAUAUCACCCCUAAGAGGUUUCAUUACCAAAAUGUACCCCUUCUCAGCCUUUUUUCCACAUAAAAUAAAGUUGAAUUUGUACGUUUUUUAUUCUUUUGCUGUUAAAAGCAAAUAAAUUUUAUUGUAAUAUAAAAAAGUAAUAAUUUUUUAGGUUGAAUUACAUAGUCCUUUUAAGAUCUCACUAAAAACUCCCUUACUAUUAAUCAUCUAUUGUAAUCUGUUACAUCAUUAUUUUUUGUCUAAGUCCUUAAAUAUUCUUUUUUGCACAUAUUUUAAUUAUUCAUUCUUUUUUCCUUUCUCAUUUCUUUCAACUAUUCACCUGACUAGUACCCAUCCCCUUUUUUUCCUUCUUAUUUCUUUCUAUUCCUUCAUUGUCUUUGCAUAAAAAAGCUACCUUGUCUUCUACACUACCAGCUUCUUACAGAACCAACUUCUACUCCUCUUGCUCUUUUCUCUUUUUUGUUUGUUGAAAAAACCACAUUGCUUACCUACUUAUGGUAUUGGUACUUACGGGUUUUCUUCUUUAAUUUAUACAAUCUCAAAAAAAUCUAAUCCUGCUUAUUGUCUCUGUGCUUUAGGCUUCUUAUGUGAAAAUGAAGAAGGAAGAAAAAAUUGAGAGAAAAGUAAAGAAAGAAAGAAUAAAGAGAAAAAACAAAAGGAAUAAGGUAUUAGACAGGUGAAUAAAAGAAAAUCCAAGGAAAUUAAAGAAAUAGAUGCACAAAUGGUAUUCCACGGUUAAAUAUAGAAGUGGUGAUGUGACAAACUAAUAUAGAUGAAUAGACUAAUAUAUAUAACAGUAGAGAUCUUCUGUGGAAUAAUUCGGAAAUUUGUUGUGCUUUAUAUUUAGUUUAAAAAAUAAAAAAAGAAUUUCAUGUAUUUUCUGAAACUUCAGGAAAGUUUAUGGAAUUUGUCCUAAUAUUACUGAUAUAGACAUUAAGAAAAAUGGUUGAGCAACUGGAAAUCUGUGAGCACCAAGUUUGAUUGAUUGUGCCAUCAAUCAUAAUGAUGGUUGCUCCACCAUCAUAAUUUGCAAAUGACUAAUUUUAUCAUGAAAAAAUAUAAUUGUGACUAGACACUAGGUGAACCAAAAAUGGUUGCAACUUGGUUACAGUUUUGUUGCAAAAUGACCUGAUCAUAGGGUUGGUUGCAACAGAGACUUACUAAUGAUCUAUUUGCAAAUUCCAACCAUGACUUGGUAACAACUCUGACUUAUUUGCAAUAUAGUUGUGACCAUGACUUACUUCUAUCUAUUACUAACGGUGGCUGUGAGACCAAAUCUGAGAAUGAUCACAUAUGAUGGUGGAGCAACCAUAUUCAGAUGUGCUUCAACUAUAGAUCAUAGCAAUGUGGCUAUAUCCAAAGACUACCUAAAAAGAGACAGUGAUGACAUGCGUAGAUCCAUACAUGCGAUCGGGUGACUGUUGUCAUCUUAUACAAUUUGGUGAACAUGGUUUAUGCGACUGUUAUGAGAUAUUUGACGGGCUUGAAAUCAGUGGGUGUCUAAGGAAGCAUGGCAAGGAACCUCAGUCUCAUACAUAACAAACAUUCUUUGGUGUUAUAGGAGGAUGCUGUUACACAAUACAGAAACAAAAAAUGUCAUGCAAAUCUAGGAAAGGAUAGGUUGAUCAAGGCCUCCAGAAAGGAGAUUCAAGUUGAACACAGAUGCAUCAAUUAAUAUUCAUGGUGAGACAGGUUUGGGCUUCAUGUGCAAAGAUUGGAAACGUAAAUUGAUGUGUCGUAUCCCAUCUUAGGCGGAGAUUGAAAUGCCAGAAGAUAUGGGUAUACUGUAUCGGCUGAAAGAGGCUACAGAAUGGGCAUCACACAUUUGAUUGUAGAGUGACUCCAGGACUCUAUUUCUAGCGCUUUCAACAAGAAGGGUGGACCACUCUGAGAUGGGGUUAAUUACAGUUGACAUUUUAUCUUAUAAUUAUGUUGUACAUGCCUUACGUUAAAACCUGACUCUGUUGUUUUCAAUUUGGAGUCACCUAUCUUCUUUGUUCCUCUGCUUGUGCAGGAUGAUUGUCAAUCAAUGAUAUGAUAUGAUGUUUUCUUCUAAAAAAUAUACAUACAUAUAUAUCUCUUAAUUAUUUAGGAACUGAUGGAAUAUAAUACACAUAAUAUGCUAAGAAUAAUCUCUUACAGUGGGAGGAACCGAACUGCUGCAGCUUUACAACAUUCUCAGCUGACAUCCUUCGUCUCAAAUAGCAAUUGGCAGAAGGAGAUUGCAUUAAAAUCUGGCAUAAGUAUAAUCAAAAUAGAACAUAAAUUCCCUCAGGCUAGAAACUGAUGAAAUGUCUUUCAAUCUCAUUUCAAAUCGGGACUGUACUGAAAUCAUCUAAUUCCACUGAGAAUUAUCCAUCUAAUUCCACUGGGUAGAAUGCCAUUAAAUAUUCAUUUGUUCCCUGAUAGAAUUAUGGCUUCUGCCCUCAUGCUUCUGCUUAUAUAAUCAUCUAAUUCCACUGCACGCCCAUCAUUUUGCUAUCUCUAUAAAAUAAUCCCAAGUUUUUUAUAUUAUCUAAACCAUUCAACAAUUAAACUGCUACUUGGUCUUCAUGCAAUAAUUUCUUUUAACAAUUCAAAAAAAAGCAAUGGAUAGAGGAGCAAAUUAACUAGGCAGUAAGAAGAAACAAAGCCCAAAUCGUAGAGACUAACCACCUUUUCCUUUUAUAACUGAAACACAGCCAUAGAAUCAGCGCUUCUCCCUGCUCUCUUGUUACUUUUUCUUUACAACUUCUCUGUUUCCAGCUUCUUCAUCUUCUCUAUUCCUGUUACUUUCCUGCAAUCUCUCUUAAUGUCACCUGCUAUUUCCAGCUUCAAUCAUAUCUCCUUUGCGGAGCAUGUCCAUUGAACGUGAAAGAUAGGAACAAGCUUCCAAUGUCCCUAGCAGAUAUAUCAUGAACCACUAGUGAGAAUCGGUGCUUUACAGCUCAAAAGGACGACUGCUAACGGAGAGGAAGCAGAGAUCGGUGACUAGUGGAGAAGAAGCAGAAGUGCAUGGCUUUGUUUUUUAUUUAUUUUUUUUAUGUUUUAUUUUAUAUAAUAAUGUAAUCUUUUGUGAAAAAUUAAAACAAACAGGAUACUGAAU
rnacentral:lncRNA from 1 species